UACGGGGGGGGGCAAGCGUUGUUCGGAAUUACUGGGCGUAAAGGGCUCGUAGGCGCCAACUAAGUCAGACGUGAAAUCCCUCGGCUUAACCGGGGAACUGCGUCUGAUACUGGUUGGCUUGAAUCCGGGAGAGGGAUGUGGAAUUCCAGGUGUAGCGGUGAAAUGCGUAGAUAUCAAGAGGAACACCUGAGGUGAAGACGGGUUGCUGGGCUGACACUGACGCUGAGGCGCGAAAGCCAGGGGAGCAAACGGG
rnacentral:rRNA from 1 species